rnacentral:rRNA from 1 species
UACGGAGGGUGCAAGCGUUAUCCGGAUUCACUGGGUUUAAAGGGUGUGUAGGCGGAUAUUUAAGUCAGUGGUGAAAUCUCCGGGCUCAACCCGGAAACUGCCAUUGAUACUAUUUAUCUUGAAUUCUGUUGAGGUGGGCGGAAUACAUCAUGUAGCGGUGAAAUGCUUAGAUAUGAUGUAGAACACCGAUUGCGAAGGCAGCUCACUAAACAGCGAUUGACGCUGAGGCACGAAAGCGUGGGGAUCAAACAGGAUUAGAUACCCCCGUAGUCC